rnacentral:rRNA from 1 species
UACAGAGGGGCAAGCGUUAUUCGGAAUUAUUGGGCGUAAAGGGCGCGUAGGCGGCCAUUCAAGUGACGGGUGAAAGCCCUCGGCUUAACCGAGGAACUGCCUGUCAGACUGGAUGGCUUGAGACCGGGAGAGGUGAGUGGAAUUCCCAGUGUAGCGGUGAAAUGCGUAGAUAUCGUAAGGAAGACCAGUGGCGAAGGCGGGUCUCUGGACGAGUUCCUGACGCUGAG